rnacentral:rRNA from 1 species
CUGGCGGCGUGCCUAAUACAUGCAAGUCGAGCGAACGGACGAGAAGCUUGCUUCUCUGAUGUUAGCGGCGGACGGGUGAGUAACACGUGGAUAACCUACCUAUAAGACUGGGAUAACUUCGGGAAACCGGAGCUAAUACCGGAUAAUAUUUUGAACCGCAUGGUUCAAAAGUGAAAGACGGUCUUGCUGUCACUUAUAGAUGGAUCCGCGCUGCAUUAGCUAGUUGGUAAGGUAACGGCUUACCAAGGCAACGAUGCAUAGCCGACCUGAGAGGGUGAUCGGCCACACUGGAACUGAGACACGGUCCAGACUCCUACGGGAGGCAGCAGUAGGGAAUCUUCCGCAAUGGGCGAAAGCCUGACGGAGCAACGCCGCGUGAGUGAUGAAGGUCUUCGGAUCGUAAAACUCUGUUAUUAGGGAAGAACAUAUGUGUAAGUAACUGUGCACAUCUUGACGGUACCUAAUCAGAAAGCCACGGCUAACUACGUGCCAGCAGCCGCGGUAAUACGUAGGUGGCAAGCGUUAUCCGGAAUUAUUGGGCGUAAAGCGCGCGUAGGCGGUUUUUUAAGUCUGAUGUGAAAGCCCACGGCUCAACCGUGGAGGGUCAUUGGAAACUGGAAAACUUGAGUGCAGAAGAGGAAAGUGGAAUUCCAUGUGUAGCGGUGAAAUGCGCAGAGAUAUGGAGGAACACCAGUGGCGAAGGCGACUUUCUGGUCUGUAACUGACGCUGAUGUGCGAAAG